GGCUUACCAUGCAAGUCGAGGGGCAGCAUUUCAGUUUGCUUGCAAACUGGAGAUGGCGACCGGCGCACGGGUGAGUAACACGUAUCCAACCUGCCGAUAACUCGGGGAUAGCCUUUCGAAAGAAAGAUUAAUACCCGAUGGUAUAAUCAGACCGCAUGGUCUUAUUAUUAAAGAAUUUCGGUUAUCGAUGGGGAUGCGUUCCAUUAGGCAGUUGGUGAGGUAACGGCUCACCAAACCUUCGAUGGAUAGGGGUUCUGAGAGGAAGGUCCCCCACAUUGGAACUGAGACACGGUCCAAACUCCUACGGGAGGCAGCAGUGAGGAAUAUUGGUCAAUGGGCGCAGGCCUGAACCAGCCAAGUAGCGUGAAGGAUGACUGCCCUAUGGGUUGUAAACUUCUUUUAUAUGGGAAUAAAGUUUUCCACGUGUGGAAUUUUGUAUGUACCAUAUGAAUAAGGAUCGGCUAACUCCGUGCCAGCAGCCGCGGUAAUACGGAGGAUCCGAGCGUUAUCCGGAUUUAUUGGGUUUAAANGGGAGCGUAGGUGGACAGUUAAGUCAGUUGUGAAAGUUUGCGGCUCAACCGUAAAAUUGCAGUUGAUACUGGCUGUCUUGAGUACAGUAGAGGUGGGCGGAAUUCGUGGUGUAGCGGUGAAAUGCUUAGAUAUCACGAAGAACUCCGAUUGCGAAGGCAGCUCACUGGACUGCAACUGACACUGAUGCUCGAAAGUGUGGGUAUCAAACAGGAUUAGAUACCCUGGUAGUCCACACAGUAAACGAUGAAUACUCGCUGUUUGCGAUAUACAGUAAGCGGCCAAGCGAAAGCAUUAAGUAUUCCACCUGGGGAGUACGCCGGCAACGGUGAAACUCAAAGGAAUUGACGGGGGCCCGCACAAGCGGAGGAACAUGUGGUUUAAUUCGAUGAUACGCGAGGAACCUUACCCGGGCUUAAAUUGCAUUUGAAUAAUCUGGAAACAGGUUAGCCGCAAGGCAAAUGUGAAGGUGCUGCAUGGUUGUCGUCAGCUCGUGCCGUGAGGUGUCGGCUUAAGUGCCAUAACGAGCGCAACCCUUAUCUUUAGUUACUAACAGGUCAUGCUGAGGACUCUAGAGAGACUGCCGUCGUAAGAUGUGAGGAAGGUGGGGAUGACGUCAAAUCAGCACGGCCCUUACGUCCGGGGCUACACACGUGUUACAAUGGGGGGUACAGAAGGCAGCUACCUGGUGACAGGAUGCUAAUCCCAAAAGCCUCUCUCAGUUCGGAUCGAAGUCUGCAACCCGACUUCGUGAAGCUGGAUUCGCUAGUAAUCGCGCAUCAGCCAUGGCGCGGUGAAUACGUUCCCGGGCCUUGUACACACCGCCCGUCAAGCCAUGAAAGCCGGGGGUACCUGAAGUACGAACCGCAAGGAGCUCCUAG
rnacentral:rRNA from 1 species